rnacentral:pre_miRNA from 1 species
AAACCAGUUGCAGGGCACCUCUCUUCCUUGGCAGACAGUACUAAUGGUGCCUAUAGCUUCAAGCUGAGAGGGUAUGCGAGAAUCUUGAUCCCAAUAUAGGCUUGCCAAAGGAGAGUUUCCCUGUGACCGUUU